AGUCCGGGUGGAGCAGUUUGGUCGCCCGUCGGGUCCAUGAUCCGAAGGGCGCAGGUUCGAGUCCCGCCCCACGACCA
rnacentral:tRNA from 1 species